AAGAGUGGCUGAGAGAUGAACAGAUCCCUUCGCGGUUGUCCUGAAUUUCUGAAUCUGUAAUGUCUCAGAAGACUCAUUAUUAAUACCCCAAAAUAGGGAACUUAAAAUGUAAAGACAUCCUGACUGCACUAUGCAGAAAAUGAGUGCAUUAACCUCUGCUCUGGAUCAUGCUGCUGUCACAGCACUGUGCCCCUGCUCACAAACAGGAUGUCACCUCCCUGUCACUGAGUCCUGCAGGAGAUGGGUGCGGCCAUCUGCCAAGGUGCAGAACAGAACCACUUAAGAACUGACCAUGGAGAAUUGUCUGGAUGGCUGAAUUUGGAAUCAACCUCUGCUUUUCAAGAGGUCUGUGA
rnacentral:lncRNA from 1 species